GAGCUGCUCUCUGGAAAUCUGAAGAGCCGCGGUAAUUUGACCGUGCAAAGGUAGCAUAAUAAUUAGUUUCUUAAUUAGAAUCUUGUAUGAAUGGUUGGACAAAAUAAAUUCUGUCUUUGUUGUUAUUAUUGAAUUUAACUUUUGAGUGAAAAGGCUUAAAUAAAUUAAAAAGACGAUAAGACCCUAUAAAGCUUUAUAAAUAAUUUUAUUUGAUUAAAUUAUUAUUAUAAAAAUUGAGUAAGGUAUUUUAUUUUAUUGGGGUGAUUGAAGUAUAAAUUUUUGUAACUGCUUAUUCCUUGAGACAAAUAUAAAUGAUUAUUUGAAUAUAAGUGAUUGAUCCUAUAUAAAGAUUCAAAGAUUAAGUUACUUUAGGGAUAACAGCGUUAUUUUUUUUGAGAGUUCUUAUCGAAAAAAGAGUUUGCGACCUCGAUGUUGAAUUAAAAUUUCUAAAUAAUUGUAGCAUUUAUUUAAGAAGGUCUGUUCGACCUUUAAAAUUUUA
rnacentral:rRNA from 1 species